rnacentral:rRNA from 1 species
GAUGAACGCUGGCGGCGUGCCUAAUACAUGCAAGUCGAGCGAACGGACGAGAAGCUUGCUUCUCUGAUGUUAGCGGCGGACGGGUGAGUAACACGUGGAUAACCUACCUAUAAGACUGGGAUAACUUCGGGAAACCGGAGCUAAUACCGGAUAAUAUUUUGAACCGCAUGGUUCAAAAGUGAAAGACGGUCUUGCUGUCACUUAUAGAUGGAUCCGCGCUGCAUUAGCUAGUUGGUAAGGUAGCGGCUUACCAAGGCAACGAUGCAUAGCCGACCUGAGGGGGUGAUCGGCCACACUGGAACUGAGACACGGUCCAGACUCCUACGGGAGGCAGCAGUAGGGAAUCUUCCGCAAUGGGCGAAAGCCUGACGGAGCAACGCCGCGUGAGUGAUGAAGGUCUUCGGAUCGUAAAACUCUGUUAUUAGGGAAGAACAUAUGUGUAAGUAACUGUGCACAUCUUGACGGUACCUAAUCAGAAAGCCACGGCUAACUACGUG